rnacentral:SRP_RNA from 1 species
GCUGGGCAUGGUGGUGCAUGCCUGUAGUCCCAGCUACUUGGGAGGCUGAGGCAGGGGCAUCCCUUGAACUCAGGAAGUUGAGACUGCAGUGAGCUGUGAUUGCACCACUGCACUCCAGCCUGGGUGACAAAGACCCUGCCUCAA